rnacentral:rRNA from 1 species
UCCGAAGGGGGCUAUCGUUGUUCGGAAUCACUGGGCGUAAAGAGCACGCAGGCGGAUCGAUAAGUCGGGGGUGAAAGCCCGGGGCUCAACCUCGGAAUUGCCUUCGAUACUGUCGGUCUCGAGUUCGGGAGAGGUGAGUGGAAUUCCUAGUGUAGAGGUGAAAUUCGUAGAUAUUAGGAAGAACAACAGUGGCGAAGGCGGCUCACUGGCCCGGUACUGACGCUCAGGUGCGAAAGCGUGGGGAGAAAACAGG